GACGAACGCUGGCGGCGUGCCUAAUACAUGCAAGUCGAACGAGCGGCGGACGGGUGAGUAAUGUAUGGGGACUGCCCGAUAGAGGGGGAUAACUACUGGAAACGGUGGCUAAUACCGCAUACUAUCGGAUAACCCAUAUGGGGUUAGCUCGUAGGUGGGGUAAAGGCUCACCUAGGCGACGAUCUCUAUCUGGUCUGAGAGGAUGAUCAGCCACACUGGGACUGAGACACGGCCCAUACUCCUACGGACGCAGCAGUGGGGAAUAUUGCACAAGGGGCGCAAGCCGGAUGCGGCCAUGCCGCGUGUAUGAAGAAGGCCUUAGGGUUGUAAAGUACUUUCAGCGGGGAGGCGUUACCCGUAGAAGAAGCACCGGAUAACUCCGUUCCAGCCGCCGCGGUAAUAC
rnacentral:rRNA from 1 species